rnacentral:rRNA from 1 species
AUACGUAGGGUGCGAGCGUUGUCCGGAAUUACUGGGCGUAAAGAGCUCGUAGGUGGUUUGUCGCGUCGUCUGUGAAAUUCCGGGGCUUAACUCCGGGCGUGCAGGCGAUACGGGCAUAACUUGAGUACUGUAGGGGAGACUGGAAUUCCUGGUGUAGCGGUGAAAUGCGCAGAUAUCAGGAGGAACACCGGUGGCGAAGGCGGGUCUCUGGGCAGUAACGGACGCUGAGGAGCGAAAGCAUGGGUAGCGAACAGGAUUAGAUACCCUGGUAGGCCAUGCCGUAAACGGUGGGCGCUAGGUGUAGGGGUCUUCCACGACUUCUGUGCCGUAGCUAACGCAUUAAGCGCCCCGCCUGGGGAGUACGGCCGCAAGGCUAAAACUCAAAUGAAUUGACGGGG